GUGCUCGCUGUGACAGGCCGGAGAGCCCGAGGGGCGGGGCUGCCGGUAAAAUUGAAAAACAGAAAGGCUGUGCCUCUGGAGAAGGCGUGUUGGAGCUUGGCGGACUUUACAACCACGUGCUCGGUCGCUGGCUGCCUGCAGUGUUCUGGGGCUGUGCAGUGCUUUUGUGUCAGUGAGCCCGACCAUCCGCCUGACGGCCAAAUCCACUCCUAAACCGUGUCUCUUAGCGCUGUACGCACGUUUCCUAAACGCUUGCGGGGAUGGUGGCUCCCCUGCUUUCCUAGGGAGCCCGUCCCAAUGCCUGCUCGUUCUUUCUGUGAAGUUCUUUGUGAUCCCCACGUUGCACCUCACCUGGCACUGCCUGAUACCGUUUUCCCGAGUCCUAUGGCUUGUCGCCUGGGAGAAGAGCCAGCUCCCUGCCAUCUCCUCUGAGGGAGACGUACGGCACCUAUGCAAAUCUCAGUGAGGUCUGCUGUGGAUCCACCUUGCUGUCUGAAUGCCCUCAUGAGGAAUGGGCUUGGAAGUUCUUUUUCUCUGACACCAGAGCUCACAGCCAAGUCAUGCCAAGUCUGACCCGUGAAAGAGAAAUGGAAUAUAAGCCAUUACCCAAAGCAUCUCUCCAGCUGGACAUGAAGGUCUGCAUCAAGUAAAAAGAAACAGCUAUGACCCAACCUUUCACAGAAGAGAAUAGAAUAUAAUCAUAGACUGAUACUGGAGAUGCCAGUGUGCCUCACAGGAGAGAAAGUCUCAUUUUCUCUAGAGUUCUUGUCUGAGUCACUGGAGAUACAGGCAAGUGGGACCUGGUCAAUCUAGUAGACUUUUCUUACAAAAAUAAAAUUGAUAACUUUCUUAGUGGAUUUUAAUUCUUAAGCAGUAAGAUAGUUGAACCUGUUAUAAGUUGAUAACUGGUUAAAAUGAAUAUUUAUGAACAGAAGAACAUGAUUGAGCUAUACUGAAAUCUUCCUCCAAAAAGUUGUAGAAAGAAGUCAGCAGGCUGCCUUUUUCUUUAGAGGGCCGCCGUAACCAUAUCUGUAAGCCUAUUUAUGAAGCCUAUUUAUGCUUAUAGUCUAACUGUACCUGUAUGCAUAGAGAAAUUUUAUUUUGCCAUUGCUGCUGAGGAAAUAGAUCUGAGUGUCAUACAUCUGAUGUUUCUAGACAACUGUGUAUAAUGUCUUAUGCCAGUCAGAAAAGCCAUCUUGAGUUCUGGGAAACAUUUAAAAAGAGAUUAUGAAGAAAAAAAAGAGAAAAUAAGAGAAAAAUCAUACAUGUAAUGUUGAGGGCAACCAGAUGUGUGCAGUUCUACAAGGAUUGAUUAAAUAGUAGGAACUUCAAAAUCACAGAAUGGCGAGGAAGCAAAAAUGAUGAUGAAUUUGAAGAAAAGUCAUUGUAAAGAUAUCAUAAGUAUUGUAAAUAUGCGCUUGUAUUAGGACAGAGUCUGGACUUGAACUUUGCUAGGCAUUUGGCCAGAUUAAAGGAAAAGAUUAUUCCUUUUGUGAUUCUCAAGUUACAUUUAGAUUCUCAGCCUGCAUUCUAGAAUCUUCUGCUCAUAGUAUCUUCCUCUCUAGAGUUUCACAGAAAUGGUGAAGGUAUC